CUCAGGCUUACAAUCUUGUUUUUCCUAUAUAGCAGGUUAAAUGAGAUUCUUUUCAUCUAUGGCUCAUCAAAAGAUAUGAUGACAGAUCCCUCACCAUGAUGGAGUAGAGGGUUUCUGCCAUCAGAUCCCUCACCACGACAGACUUGAGGUUUCUGCCAUCAGAUCCCUCAUUACAGACUGUAUGCUGACGGACUUUCCUGGGCCUGCUACCGGAGACCUGCUGCUUCCUCCCGGGCUUACUCUGUGGCUUCUUCCUGGACCCACGUGGUACCUGCACCCUCUCGUUGCCCAAGACCGGCCUCACUGCUCCUGCCCUUUGGCCUCGGACCAUCGGAACGUCGUGCAACGGGACUACUGCCAGAUCCUGGUGGUGACUAUCCCUCCUUUACACAAUUCUUGCCUCUUUCUAUCUUUUCUAUCUCUCGCCUUCCCUUCCCCAUCACCCCAAUCCGUAAUAGUGUCUGUCCUCCCCUUUCUUCAUCUUCCUUAUUAACAUUUGUAAUAAACUGGUCGGACCAACAUUUGAACCAUUGUUUCUUAAUCUCAUGCCAGGCAUACAUAUUUCAAAGAACCUCCUCUCCCUCCUAUAAAUUGGAGUGAGACAAUUAGCUACAAAGAAUGAAGUAAGUACAUCUAUUCUAGCUAUUUU
ensembl:lncRNA